ensembl:lncRNA
GCAGGUGUAUUAUUGUGUGUUAAUGCAGGUGUGUUAGUGUGUGUUAAUGCAGGUGUGUUAAUGCAGGUGUAUUAGUGUGUGUUAAUGCAGGUGUAUUAUUGUGUGUUAAUGCAGGUGUAUUAUUGUGUGUUAAUGCAGGUGUGUUAAUGCAGGUGUGUUAAUGCAGGUGUGUUAGUGUGUGUUAAUGCAGGUGUGUUAGUGUGUGUUAAUGCAGGUGUCUUAUUGUGUGUUAAUGCAGGUGUGUUAGUGUGUGUGUUAAAGCAGGUGUAUUAUUGUGUGUUAAUGCGAGUGUGUUAGUGUGUGUUAAUGCAGGUGUGUUAUUGUGUGUUAAUGCAGGUGUAUUAGUCUGUGUUAAUGCAGGUGUGUUAGUGUGUGUGUUAAUGCAGGUGUGUUAGUGUGUGUUAAUGCAGGUGUAUUAGUGUGUGUUAAUGCAGGUGUGUUAAUGCAGGUGUAUUAUUGUGUGUUAAUGCAGGUGUGUUAAUGCAGGUGUGUUAGUGUGUGUUAAUGCAGGUGUGUUAUUGUGUGUUAAUGCAGGUGUAUUAUUGUGUGUUAAUGCAGGUGUGUUAAUGCAGGUGUGUUAAUGCAGGUGUGUUAGUGUGUGUGUUAAUGCAGGUGUAUUAGUGUGUGUUAAUGCAGGUGUGUUAGUGUGUGUUAAUGCAGGUGUAUUAGUGUGUGUUAAUGCAGGUGUGUUAAUGUGGGUGUGUUAGUGUGUGUGUUAAUGCAGGUGUAUUAUUGUGUGUUAAUGCAGGUGUGUUAGUGUGUGUUGAUGCAGGUGUAUCAUUGUGUGUUAAUGCAGGUGUGUUAGUGUGUGUUAAUGCAGGUGUGUUAAUGCAGGUGUAUUAUUGUGUGUUAAUGCAGGUGUAUUGUGUGUUAAUGCAGGUGUGUUAGUGUGUGUUAAUGCAGGUGUGUUAGUGUGUGUUAAUGCAGGUGUGUUAUUGUGUGUUAAUGCAGGUGUGUUAGUGUGUGUGUUAAUGCAGGUGUAUCAUUGUGUGUUAAUGCAGGUGUGUUAGUGUGUGUUAAUGCAGGUGUAUUAUUGUGUGUUAAUGCAGGUGUGUUAUUGUGUGUUGAUGCAGGUGUAUUAUUGUGUGUUAAUGCAGGUGUGUUAGUGUGUGUUAAUGCAGGUGUGUUAGUGUGUGUUAAUGCAGGUGUAUUAUUGUGUGUUAAUGCAGGUGUAUUAUUGUGUGUUAAUGCAGGUGUAUUAUUGUGUGUUAAUGCAGGUGUGUUAAUGCGGGGUGUGUUAGUGUGUGUUAAUGCAGGUGUAUUAUUGUGUGUUAAUGCAGGUGUAUUAGUGUGUGUUAAUGCAGGUGUAUUAUUGUGUGUUAAUGCAGGUGUGUUAGUGUGUGUGUUAAUGCAGGUGUAUUAUUGUGUGUUAAUGCAG